rnacentral:rRNA from 2 species
AGCGCAUACGGUGGAUGCCUUGGCAGUCAGAGGCGAUGAAAGACGUGGUAGCCUGCGAAAAGCUUCGGGGAGUCGGCAAACAGACUUUGAUCCGGAGAUGUCUGAAUGGGGGAACCCAGCCAUCAUAAGAUGGUUAUCUUGUACUGAAUACAUAGGUGCAAGAGGCGAACCAGGGGAACUGAAACAUCUAAGUACCCUGAGGAAAAGAAAUCAACCGAGAUUCCCUUAGUAGUGGCGAGCGAACGGGGACUAGCCCUUAAGUGGCUUUGAGAUUAGCGGAACGCUCUGGAAAGUGCGGCCAUAGUGGGUGAUAGCCCUGUACGCGAAAGUCUCUUAGUCAUGAAAUCGAGUAGGACGGAGCACGAGAAACUUUGUCUGAAUAUGGGGGGACCAUCCUCCAAGGCUAAAUACUACUGACUGACCGAUAGUGAACUAGUACCGUGAGGGAAAGGCGAAAAGAACCCCGGAGAGGGGAGUGAAAUAGAUCCUGAAACCGUAUGCGUACAAGCAGUGGGAGCAGACUUUGUUCUGUGACUGCGUACCUUUUGUAUAAUGGGUCAGCGACUUAUUUUCAGUGGCGAGCUUAACCGAAUAGGGGAGGCGUAGCGAAAGCGAGUCUUAAUAGGGCGUCUAGUCGCUGGGAAUAGACCCGAAACCGGGCGAUCUAUCCAUGGGCAGGUUGAAGGUUAGGUAACACUGACUGGAGGACCGAACCGACUACCGUUGAAAAGUUAGCGGAUGACCUGUGGAUCGGAGUGAAAGGCUAAUCAAGCUCGGAGAUAGCUGGUUCUCCUCGAAAGCUAUUUAGGUAGCGCCUCAUGUAUCACUGUAGGGGGUAGAGCACUGUUUCGGCUAGGGGGUCAUCCCGACUUACCAAACCGAUGCAAACUCCGAAUACCUACAAGUGCCGAGCAUGGGAGACACACGGCGGGUGCUAACGUCCGUCGUGAAAAGGGAAACAACCCAGACCGUCAGCUAAGGUCCCAAAGUUAUGGUUAAGUGGGAAACGAUGUGGGAAGGCUUAGACAGCUAGGAGGUUGGCUUAGAAGCAGCCACCCUUUAAAGAAAGCGUAAUAGCUCACUAGUCGAGUCGGCCUGCGCGGAAGAUGUAACGGGGCUCAAACCAUACACCGAAGCUACGGGUAUCACGUAAGUGAUGCGGUAGAGGAGCGUUCUGUAAGCCUGUGAAGGUGAGUUGAGAAGCUUGCUGGAGGUAUCAGAAGUGCGAAUGCUGACAUGAGUAACGACAAUGGGUGUGAAAAACACCCACGCCGAAAGACCAAGGUUUCCUGCGCAACGUUAAUCGACGCAGGGUUAGUCGGUCCCUAAGGCGAGGCUGAAAAGCGUAGUCGAUGGAAAACAGGUUAAUAUUCCUGUACUUCUGGUUAUUGCGAUGGAGGGACGGAGAAGGCUAGGCCAGCUUGGCGUUGGUUGUCCAAGUUUAAGGUGGUAGGCUGGAAUCUUAGGUAAAUCCGGGAUUCCAAGGCCGAGAGCUGAUGACGAGUUGCCUUUAGGCGACGAAGUGGUUGAUGCCAUGCUUCCAAGAAAAGCUUCUAAGCUUCAGAUAACCAGGAACCGUACCCCAAACCGACACAGGUGGUUGGGUAGAGAAUACCAAGGCGCUUGAGAGAACUCGGGUGAAGGAACUAGGCAAAAUGGCACCGUAACUUCGGGAGAAGGUGCGCCGGUGAGGGUGAAGCACUUGCUGCGUAAGCCCACGCCGGUCGAAGAUACCAGGCCGCUGCGACUGUUUAUUAAAAACACAGCACUCUGCAAACACGAAAGUGGACGUAUAGGGUGUGACGCCUGCCCGGUGCCGGAAGGUUAAUUGAUGGGGUUAGCUAACGCGAAGCUCUUGAUCGAAGCCCCGGUAAACGGCGGCCGUAACUAUAACGGUCCUAAGGUAGCGAAAUUCCUUGUCGGGUAAGUUCCGACCUGCACGAAUGGCGUAACGAUGGCGGCGCUGUCUCCACCCGAGACUCAGUGAAAUUGAAAUCGCUGUGAAGAUGCAGUGUAUCCGCGGCUAGACGGAAAGACCCCGUGAACCUUUACUAUAGCUUUGCACUGGACUUUGAAUUUGCUUGUGUAGGAUAGGUGGGAGGCUUUGAAGCGUGGACGCCAGUUCGCGUGGAGCCAUCCUUGAAAUACCACCCUGGCAACUUUGAGGUUCUAACUCAGGUCCGUUAUCCGGAUCGAGGACAGUGUAUGGUGGGUAGUUUGACUGGGGCGGUCUCCUCCUAAAGAGUAACGGAGGAGUACGAAGGUGCGCUCAGACCGGUCGGAAAUCGGUCGUAGAGUAUAAAGGCAAAAGCGCGCUUGACUGCGAGACAGACACGUCGAGCAGGUACGAAAGUAGGUCUUAGUGAUCCGGUGGUUCUGUAUGGAAGGGCCAUCGCUCAACGGAUAAAAGGUACUCCGGGGAUAACAGGCUGAUACCGCCCAAGAGUUCAUAUCGACGGCGGUGUUUGGCACCUCGAUGUCGGCUCAUCACAUCCUGGGGCUGAAGCCGGUCCCAAGGGUAUGGCUGUUCGCCAUUUAAAGUGGUACGCGAGCUGGGUUUAGAACGUCGUGAGACAGUUCGGUCCCUAUCUGCCGUGGACGUUUGAGAUUUGAGAGGGGCUGCUCCUAGUACGAGAGGACCGGAGUGGACGAACCUCUGGUGUUCCGGUUGUCACGCCAGUGGCAUUGCCGGGUAGCUAUGUUCGGGAAAGAUAACCGCUGAAAGCAUCUAAGCGGGAAACUUGCCUCAAGAUGAGAUCUCACUGGAACCUUGA